rnacentral:lncRNA from 1 species
UUGAUAUUCAUAAUUGAAGAUACAAAGCAGAGUAAAAACCUAUUGCUCUAUCUAAUGCCCUUUAAGCAGUGGUAGAACUCGGAAAUAAAAUGCAUGUGGACCGUUAAAAAAGUUACUAUAAAUUCAAUACAAAAAUUAGGCAAAAGUUAUGGUGCAUAAGUAACAAACUUAUGCAUGGUGCAUAAGUGAAUGUCCACCAUCAGAUCAAAUAACACGUGUAAUAAUCCCCCGCCCCUCUUAGCUCACACUCUCUCAGGUCUAAGCAUCACGCAUCAUCUCGCCAAAUUCAUUGCUACUUGUUUAUGCAAUUCUUCAUCCAUUUUCCUAAAUUCAUUACUCACUGUUUACCUCGCCGUUGUUCUUGAAUAUCUCGCCGUUGAGGU